GAAUUGAUUUUAUCAAAUUUUUAAACUUUCCCGUCUGAUUUCUGAAGCUAAACAGGGUCGGGCCUGGUUAGUACUUGGAUAGGAGACCGCCUAGGAAGACCAGGUGCUGUAGGCG
rnacentral:rRNA from 1 species